AUGUCCACUAACGUUAUGUCGGACCCAGGGAGGCUGAACAAAGUGCUGAAGUACAAGUCCCUGCCAGUGUCACCCGGCCUCGGACCACCCGACACUGGACCACAUGAACCUGCUUCGGUUCGAUCUUCGGCAUGUGCAGCCUCCUGCUCAAGCUCAAGUGGUGUGCCUGGGUCGCUGUCUACUGCUCCUUCCUCAGCUUGGCCAACUCCCAGAGCUCUGAGGACGCUAAGCACAUGAUGAGUAGCCUCGCACUGUCCAUCUCUGCCGUGGUGAUGUCAUAUCUGCAGAACCCUCAGCCCAUCAUGCCCCCCUGGUGAUGUCAUCCUAGGACCACUCUAUCCACCUUCCCCCAGGCCUGGCCCCUGGCUGCUCAGCCUUCUGCCCUCAGCUGCGGACCUGGGCUGCCCUGGGUGACGUGGUCUCGGCACCCACAGUGAGAUGGAGGGAAGCUGAUGCUUUUCAUGGGAUUCCACUUCUGCCCGGGCAGAGAGGGUUACCCUAGGCCUACCCCUCCCGCCUGCCUUCCCAACCCCGCCUGCUGCUGGGGGAGAUGCUGUCCAUGUUUCUAGGUGUAUCCACUCCUUUUUUUGUUCAAACCAGUUAAUAAUAAAGUUUUGCAUUCCAGCAAC